AUACUUACCUGGCGUAGGGGACACCGUGAUCAACUAGGCGGUUCCCCCAGGACGAGGCCUGGCCAUUGCACUGCGGUCGGGUUGACCCCUGCGAUUACCCCUAAUGUGGGUAACUCGGGCGCGUAAUUUUUGGUAGUGGGGACUGCGUUCGCGCCGUCCCCC
rnacentral:snRNA from 1 species